UACGGAGGGUGCGAGCGUUGUCCGGAAUCACUGGGCGUAAAGGGCGCGUAGGCGGCCUGGUAAGUAGGGGGUGAAAUCCUGCGGCUUAACCGCAGGGCUGCCUUCUAAACUGUCAGGCUAGAGCACGGUAGAGGCAGAUGGAAUUCCCGGUGUAGCGGUGGAAUGCGCAGAUAUCAGGAGGAACACCGGUGGCGAAGGCGGGUCCCUGGGCCGUUACUGACGCUGAGGAGCGAAAGCGUGGGGAGCGAACAGG
rnacentral:rRNA from 1 species